rnacentral:rRNA from 1 species
GCGGAAGCUGCGGCUGGAUCACCUCCUUUC